rnacentral:rRNA from 1 species
UACAGAGGUCCCGAGCGUUGUUCGGAUUCAUUGGGCGUAAAGGGUGCGUAGGCGGCGUGGUAAGUCUGAUGUGAAAUCCUGGGGCUCAACCCCAGAACUGCAUUGGAUACUGCCAUGCUAGAGUACUGGAGAGGAAACUGGAAUUUACGGUGUAGCAGUGAAAUGCGUAGAGAUCGUAAGGAAGACCAGUGGCGAAGGCGAGUUUCUGGACAGUAACUGACGCUGAGGCACGAAGGCCAGGGGAGCAAACGGG